rnacentral:rRNA from 1 species
AUAUGCUUGUUCCAAAGCUUAAGCCAUGCAUGUCUAAGAACAGCGGUCUCUCACACAAAUCUGCGAACGGCUCCGUAUAUCUGUUGUCACCCCUCAUCAUCCGCCCGGGGGAUGCGUAUACCCCCCGGCAGCGGAUAACCCCGGUAAUUCUGUGGCUAAUACGUGUGUGCAUGGGGGCUGGUCCGCAAGGGCCGGUUCUCGGGCUUGCCGCGGCUAUGCACGUCGGUCUAGUACCGCGCUGCGUGAUGCUGGCAAGUUCCCCUGCCGGCCGAUUACACGGCCGGAGUGCAUGACGGACUUCAGCCCUAUCAACUUGUCGGCCGGGGAUGGCCCGGCCGUGGUGACGACGGGUACAGAGGAUCAGGGUUCGAUCCUGGAGAGGUAGCCUGAGAGAUCGCUACUACUUCUAAGGAAGGCAGCAGGCGCGCAACGUUCCCAAUGGGGAAACCCUGAGGACGUGACGGAACAUACCAAUGCCCUGCCCAUAAAGCGGGGCAAUUGGAAUGGGGGCAGACCAAACCCAUCACCGAGUAACAAUUGGAGGACAAGUCUGGUGGGCAUUAUGCCUAUGCCAGGUGUUAUGCGCGGUCCGCCGCGUGUAGCAGAAAGCGGGGAUCAGCUCCCGUUGUACAGCCGUAAAUUGCAGGGAACGCUAGGAACGGGUGUGGAUACCGCGGCCCCCGGGAAACCGGGGGUGCAGCAGGGCCUUUGGGCCCGGAUGGUGACAAUGCCACACUCAGGGGCCCUUGUCCGGCCGCGCCUGCCCAUCGUUUGGGCGGCACCACCCUAGCCAAUCUGCAGCCAAGCCGUUCUGCCCUCGCGGGCGUGCGGAAGGUUCAGAGACUAUAAUCGGUUGGGCGCAAGCUUAAGGAAUAGUCCACUCCCCCCAGUGAUGGGGCCGGCGGAAGUAAGGGGGUCUGGCUCCCCCCUGAGGCACGCUGGGUCCUUCGAAGCACGGGCCGAUUCGCAAUCCCCGUGCGAGGUACAGGAUGGUAUGUAGGGCCAGCACCCGCGGUAAUUCCAGCUCCAAUAGCAUCUAGUUAAGUUGUUGCAGUUAAAACGCUCGUAGUUCAAGCCGGUGCGCCUGUCACCCGCCUAGUAGCCGGAAGCCUGGGGGCCCCGCAAGGGUGCCACCGGCAGCCGGCCAACGGCGGGCCGGCGGGCCACCAUAUGUUGCCCGAGUCUAAAGCGGCGGCUGGCCCUUCGGUGGGUCCGGCCGAUCCCGCCUCGGGCGGUUCACUUUGAGUAAAUGUAAGUGCCCAAAACAGGCCUCUAUGGCCAUUGAAACCCGCAGCAAAGAAUGAUGUUACGGGCACCCCUUGUUUGCGUGCAUUUUGGGGGGUGCCAAUUGAUCGAUAGGUUGGAUCGGGGUGAGCCACAUGGCGGGGGUAGGGGUGAAAUCCGUUGAUCCUCGCCAGGUGAACUAACGCGAAAGCAGCUCACAAGUACCUCUCCUUUGAUCAAGAACGAAAGUCCGGGGAUCGAAGAUGAUUAGAUACCAUCGUAGUCCGGACCCUAAAUGAUGCCGACCAUGGAUGGGCAUGCGUCCAUCCCGACCCGGUCCGGACCUUGUGGGAAACCAUAAGUGUUUGGGCUCCGGGGGGAGUAUGGUCGCAAGACUGAAACUUAAAGGAAUUGACGGAAGAGCACACAAGGAGUGGAGCCUGCGGCUUAACAGCUAGGUCGCGAUAGUCAGGUGCACCUUGGUUUGUUUUACGGUGCAUUAUGCUGGCUAGUCGAUUCCCCCCGCAAGGGAUGAGUGGGGGACGGCGAGACAACCUGGAACGGUGGAACCCUCACAGCAAUGACCCAGGGACCUAAGGCCCCCUGGACCAGCCUGAGGGCAAUACCGUGGCGAGCCCCCCAUGGGCAACUAUGGGUGGGCCGUCGUAACGCGCGGUAAGGUGUCGGGGGACCGCAACGGGCGCGGUUCCCUUACGGUACGUGCUACUCCCCCCGCAAGGGUGCACUGGGCUGGAGCUCUCAUCCAGCAAAGGUCCGGUGGGCUAGAUCCUGGGCGGAAAUGCCCAGGGGAGGCUGGUAUCAAGGUAAUUUGACUCAACACGGGAAAACUCACAAGGGCAAGAGGGGGGUAGGAUGGUCAGCUUAUCAGAGCUUUCCUGAUUCCCCCAGUGGUGGUGCAUGGUCGUUCUUAGUUCGUGGAUUGAUUUGUCUGGUCUAUUCCGUUAACGAGCGAGAACCUACUCAACGAUGUUGGGCCCUUGGGCUAGCCUGGACCCUGACGCAAGGAUGGGUCUGGGCGUCGUGCCCCUGGGCAACUUUAUCAGGCUGGCGAGAUCGGUACCGCGAAGGUGCCGGAAGUUGGUCAAUAACAGGUCAGUGAUGCCCUUAGAUGCUCUUGGCUGCACGCGCGCUACAAUGGGGGGGGCAACGGGUCUGCCUGCGCCGAAAGGCGGCGGGUAAUCCUUCGAAACCCCCCCGUAUCCGGGACUGCGCCGUGUAAAUCGGCGCACGAACGAGGAAUUUCUAGUA